AGUGAACGCUGGCGGUAGGCCUAACACAUGCAAGUCGAACGGCAGCACAGGAGAGCUUGCUCUCUGGGUGGCGGGUGGCGGACGGGUGAGGAAUACAUCGGAAUCUACCUUUUCGUGGGGGAUAACGUAGGGAAACUUACGCUAAUACCGCAUACGACCUACGGGUGAAAGUGGGGGACCGCAAGGCCUCACGCGAUUAGAUUAGCCGAUGUCCGAUUAGCUAGUUGGCGGGGUAAUGGCCCACCAAGGCGACGAUCGGUAGCCGGUCUGAGAGGAUGAUCAGCCACACUGGAACUGAGACACGGUCCAGACCCCUACGGGAGGCAGCAGUGGGGAAUAUUGGACAAUGGGCGCAAGCCUGAUCCAGCCAUACCGCGUGGGGGAUGAAGGCCUUCGGGUCGUAAACCCCUGUCGAAUGGGACGAAAAGCCCGCGAUUUAACAAAACGCGGGACUGACGGUACCGUUAAAGGAAGCCACGGCUAACUCUGUGCCAGCCGCCGCAGUAAGAC
rnacentral:rRNA from 1 species